AUGCCUUGUUAAACCUGGAGCAGCCUCCGGGAGGGAUGAGCUGCCGGGUAAAUUGGAACGAAGACCGCAUUAAAAAAAAAAAAAAAAGAAAAUAGAAAUAAAUCAAGGAAACAAUUUAAAGGAAGUGCAAGAACGCCAACUGAGGACUGUGUUCGCCAUCUAUGCAAGUGUGUGUGUAAUUGUGUGUGUGUUUGUGUGUGUGUCGUGGACUCCCACUCUGUGAUGUAAAAGGUGGAUAUCGGCAUGUGGAGGAUCAGGCACAAAGGGCCUGAGCGUGAUGGUGGUCUGGACGCAUAGAGCCGUGCGAUGACGGUGGGCACCGUGGGUACAAGAGUCAUGCGACACCCAUCCCUGCCCUGCCACCUCCUCCUGGGUGGGGCCGUACUGCUUCUCCUGGCCCGUUCGGCCCUGAGCUGCCCGGCGCGAUGCGAGUGCUCCGCGCAGACUAAGUCAGUGAGCUGCCACCGCAGGCGACUGAGCACCAUCCCCGAAGGCAUCCCGAUCGAGACUCGGGUCCUGGAUCUCAGCAAGAACAAGUUACGCACCAUCACACCGGACAAUUUCUCCUCCUUCGGGCAGCUGGAGGACCUGGAUCUCAGCGACAACCUCAUCAGUGUCGUGGAAACGGGAUCGUUCCGUUGUCAACUUGCUCUCCGCUCACUGAACUUUCGCAGCAACAUGCUCCAGCUGGUACCGGCGGGGGUCCUGUCAGGCUUGACCAACCUCACCCGCCUGGACCUCAGCCACAACCGACUGGUGGUUCUACUGGACCACGCCUUUCAAGAUCUGCGCAAAUUGGCAUCCCUUGAAGUUGGCGACAACGAACUUGUUUUCGUCUCUCAGAGGGCCUUCGUCGGAUUAACCGGACUCCGGAGUCUGACCCUGGAACGUUCCAACCUCACUGUGGUGCCCACCGACGCUCUGGCGCAUCUACACAACCUCGUGCAGCUUUGUAUGCGUCACUUGAGUAUUAGUUUCCUGAAGCCGUUCUCCUUUAAGAGGCUAUCGUCUCUCCGCCGACUAGAGAUUGAUUUCUGGCCCUGGUUGGACUCGCUCCCUCCGCUUUCGCUGCACGGACUCAACCUCACAACCUUAUUCGUAACAAACACUAAUCUUUCUGCCUUCCCCGGCGCGGCGUUGCGCCACUUGCCCUACCUCACACAUCUCAACUUGUCCUUCUGCAGAAUUCAGCACAUCCAUCAAGGAGAGCUGGGCCACCUCCCGCAUUUGAUGGAGCUCCGUCUCCAAGGCGCUCAGCUUGUUUCCAUCGAGACCUUUGCGUUUAUUGGCUUGAAAUCUUUGAAACUACUGGAUGUGUCACAAAACCGCUUGGACUCCCUGGAGAAAGGGGUGUUUGCAUCGCCGGAUAGCCUCCAGAGACUUUGUCUGGGCGGGAACCCGUUGGUGUGCGACUGCAGAUUGCUCUGGUUGCUGAACAGCCACCGGCCCCCGUCCCUGCAUAUUCUUGACAUCCAACCGGAAUGCAGCGCCCCCGAGUAUCUCCUGGGGAAAACUCUCCGGGAGUUGAAGGAACCGUUGGUUUCCCGGUACAUGACGUGCACUAAACCUCAAAUCGGACCCAACGCGACGCAGCUCCUGAUGGCCGACGAGGGUCAACCGGCGCGGUUGAGCUGCACGGCGGAAGGGGCGCCGCGGCCGUCGGUGGCGUGGAUUACGCCUCACAGACGCUACGUCACGGCCAAGAGCAGCGGCCGCGUGGAAGUCCGAUCGGACGGAACGCUGGAGAUCAAAGCGGCGGAACUCCACGACAGCGGCGUGUACUUGUGUAUCGCCAGUAACCCCGCCGGCAACGCUAGCUUGUCUGCUUCGUUAGCUGUCAAGAGUCUAGGCGUCGGGGACCGGUAUCACAAUACCAACAGGAGCUCGAAUUAUUUCGCAGACUCGAACAACACUUUCGGGAACGGGAACGGGAACGGGACCGCGUUGUACAACAUGACCGUCCCCAUCGAUAUUAAGACUAUUAUUAUAUCCACCGCCAUGGGAUGCCUGUCAUUCCUAGGUGUCGUCGUUUUCUGCUUCCUGCUUCUGUUCGCCUGGAGUCGAGGUAAAGGACGCCAUAAGAGCAACUUUGACAUCGAGUAUGUCCCUCGCAAGUCAAACGGGGCAUCGAACGAAGUCACGGAAACAAGCGGCCCUCGACGAGUCAAUAUGAAAAUGAUAUAAACGUUGUUUUUUUUUUGUUUUUUUGUUUUUUUUUUAUGAUGCAGUGGAUUUGUGACCCAAUGAAAGUGAUGUACUAAUAUAGUGGCUGUCAAUUGGAGGUGAUCAUGUGACUAAUCAAAGUGAAAACCGUGAACGUGUUUUUUUAUGAAAUAGCGUCCUCAUGCAUUAUACAUAUAAAAAUAUAAAACUAUAACCAACAUAUCAAUAUCGGGGAGUGAUAUAGUGCUGCGCUCGGCAUGCGUAAUCAGUGGUUGACGUGAUGAGUAACGAUGUUGUCGACUCGCCGCCGUGACAUCAAAGUGAAGCACGGAAGCUACCAAACGGGGGGGGGAACGGGGUAACGGGAAGUAUUCAGUACGCGGCGAUACUAGCUAUCAUUACUGCAAUAUGUCGGGAUUAAAUCGUUCCAAUACCCAUCUUUAGCUGCAGUGUGAAAGGUGUGUGUUGUGUUCCUGUGUGCGUGCAGCGGUGUGCGCAUGUUGCAUUUGUGUUCUUUAUUUGUGCAUGUGCACGCAUUGCCUUUCUUAUCAUAUUUAAAAAAAAAAAAAAAAAAAACGACGGGGGUCCCGGAGUAUUUUAACGGAUCUUUGUUUCUUGUUGGAUCCUUGUAACAACAGUAUUGUCGCACAAGAUUAUAUACUGUGUGUUUGUAUGCAAAGUCGCACUUAUGAUACACUAAAGACUUAGGGGUGUAACGGUACACAACAAUAAGGGGGAUCGUCGCUACGGUUCUAAGGGGGAAAUGCAAAACAUGAAAUUGGGGAAUUGAACUUUUUGGGGAAAUUUUGUGAAACAAAAACACUCUGCAUUCUAGCGCAAAAUUUCCCAAUUAUCCCAAAAAGUGCAAUUUCCCAAUUUCGUGUUGUGUAUUUCCCCCUUAGAAACGAGAUAUUGCAACGGUACACCGCAAUCGGGUCGCUACGUCACUCGGUUCUUAGGGGGAAAUGCAAAACAUGAAAUUGGGGAAUUGACCCUUUUUGGGAAAUUUUACCCCAUGAUUCACAAUACUUUACCUCCCUUUUCUGUGCAUUCUAGCACAAUAAAACAACUUAAUAUGAGUUAGCUAAUAACGGUUAGCUAAUAAUAAUAUUACUCACUAAAUACGGCCAUCGAUUACAUCACUGUAUGUGAAUACUAAAUAUACUAAACCAUAGUUUCCAUAGUCGAUAUCAGUGUAUCCUAAUGACGUCCAUUGUUAGCUAGCUCAUAUUGACUACUUUUCUUGUGUGAGAAUGUACAAAAAAGCAAAACAAUAUGUUUAUGUUUCACAUAAGCAUCACAUAAGAAUCCCUUUAAAGAAGCAGUAACAAAAUACUACGACAUAAAUAUGAAUAAUCAUACAGUAAUAAUAUAGUACAAUUUCAUUUUGAGCAUUGAGCAUUUUUCGGAAGUGCAACAGUAAUUACCUGAUAAUUACCUGAAUUAUUAUGAAUCAUUAAUACUUCCAACUUCGAUCGAAAAAACAAACAAAAACAAAAAAAAACCAUAUUACUAACACAUGUACCGUUACACUCCUAACAAGAAAUGCUGCAUAUGUUUCAAAGCAGUCCAAUAUACGUAUGGGAAUUGAACAGAAAUCGGCGUAAUAAUACUCUAUACUUCCAUGUGAGGCGUGAGCUCUGUCACUUUGCAAGGCAGCACAAAUAAAAUAACCGGGCAGUGAAGCUAUCACGGGAGAAAAGCUCGCCGCAACAACGAUGGCGUCGUAAAGCUGCUUUAAUAAUAACACGAUAAAUCACAGGCUUUUUUUUUAUUUUUUUUGCCAAAAAAAAAAAAAAAUCCUUUGAUAUGAUAUAAAAGACUCGGCGGUCAGAUACUAUAAGUCGGAGAUUUACCGGAUUGUGUCCUCUUUGGGACAAGACGUAGCGAAGCCUCACAGAUUUAUAGCUUAAAUUUCCCAGCAUUUUUGAUUGAUUUAUUAUCACACCUCCAAUUCGUCCCCCCCUUGGGGUGCAACGGGGGGGGGGGGGGGG